rnacentral:rRNA from 1 species
GAAACCCGCCUCCAUGAAGUUGGAUUCGCUAGUAAUCGCGCAUCAGCCAUGGCGCGGUGAAUACGUUCCCGGGCCUUGUACACACCGCCCGUCAAGCCAUGGGAGCCGGGGGUGCCUGAAGUUCGUGACCGCAAGGAGCGACCUAGGGCAAAACUGGUGACUGGGGCUAAGUCGUAACAAGGUAAC